GCUUGGAUGACUUGUGGGUAGCGGAGAAAUUCCAAACGAACUUGGAGAUAGCUGGUUCUCUCCGAAAUAGCUUUAGGGCUAGCGUCGAUGUUAAGUCUCUUGGAGGUAGAGCACUGUUUGGGUGAGGGGUCCAUCUCGGAUUACCAAUCUCAGAUAAACUCCGAAUGCCAACGAGAUAUAAUCGGCAGUCAGACUGCGAGUGCUAAGAUCCGUAGUCGAAAGGGAAACAGCCCAGACCACCAGCUAAGGUCCCAAAAUAUAUGUUAAGUGGAAAAGGAUGUGGGGUUGCACAGACAACUAGGAUGUUAGCUUAGAAGCAGCUAUUCAUUCAAAGAGUGCGUAAUAGCUCACUAGUCGAGUGACCCUGCGCCGAAAAUGUACCGGGGCUAAAACAUAUUACCGAAGCUGUGGAUGACACGUUAGUGUCAUGGUAGGAGAGCGUUCUAUGUGUGAAGAAGGUGUACCGUGAGGAGCGCUGGAACGCAUAGAAGUGAGAAUGCCGGUAUGAGUAGCGAAAGACAGGUGAGAAUCCUGUCCACCGUAAGACUAAGGUUUCCAGGGGAAGGCUCGUCCGCCCUGGGUUAGUCGGGACCUAAGGAGAGACCGAAAGGUGUAUCCGAUGGCCAACAGGUUGAUAUUCCUGUACUAGAGUAUAAAGUGAUGGAGGGACGCAGUAGGCUAACUAAAGCAGGCGAUUGGAAGAGCCUGUCUAAACAGUGAGGUGUAAGAUGAGUCAAAUGCUUAUCUUUAUAACAUUGAGCUGUGAUGGGGAGCGAAGUUAAGUAGCGAAGUUAGUGACGUCACACUGCCAAGAAAAGCUUCUAGCGUUUAAUGAUACUCUACCCGUACCGCAAACCGACACAGGUAGUCGAGGCGAGUAGCCUCAGGUGAUCGAGAGAACUCUCGUUAAGGAACUCGGCAAAAUGACCCCGUAACUUCGGGAGAAGGGGUGCUGACUUAGGUCAGCCGCAGUGAAUAGGCCCAAGCAACUGUUUAUCAAAAACACAGCUCUCUGCUAAAUCGUAAGAUGAUGUAUAGGGGGUGACGCCUGCCCGGUGCUGGAAGGUUAAGAGGAGGGUUUAGCGUAAGCGAAGAUCUGAAUUGAAGCCCCAGUAAACGGCGGCCGUAACUAUAACGGUCCUAAGGUAGCGAAAUUCCUUGUCGGGUAAGUUC
rnacentral:rRNA from 1 species